ensembl:lncRNA
GGGGCCGGUCGCUUCUGCUGAGGCGCGGGGGCCGGUCGCUUCUGCUGAGGCGCGGGCGCGGGUCGCUUCUGCUGAGGCGCGGGGGCCGGUCGCUUCUGCUGAGGCGCGGGGGCCGGUCGCUUCUGCUGAGGCGCGGGGGCCGGUCGCUCCUGCUGAGGCAUUUCGACCCGACGUCACAUUUGCCGAGCUAUUGUGGCCAGUAGCUUUAGCAUUUGGAACAGACACCACACUCGCUUGGGCUCCAGUGGAGGCAGGAUGCCCAUAAGCACCUAGUGAACAAAGAGAAGAAAAAAAAAAAAAACACAGGUUGUAAAAAUCAGCCAUUGGAACUAGACGGAUUUGAACUGAAGUAGUGUAAACCAACACACCUUGAAGGGUAAAACACGUUAUCCCACCAAUUAGCAGGCAACAAAUCCAAGAAACACUACAAAACAGUCAGACAGUUAAACAUAAAUAACCAGUGAAAAAUAUAAGAAAAAGGUACACCAAACAAAUUGAAAAAUACAUUGAAAAACUAACCUCAAAGAGAGUCCAAAAGUCACAGCCAUUUUAGUGAUCAAAACCACAAUCGUAUUCAGAACUAAUGCUAGACAGACACCCUGCCAGAAUAUCCCUGUUGCAAUGUCUAACAGCUGUUUUGGUUGCACCUCAUAAAGGAA